rnacentral:rRNA from 1 species
UAGUCAUAUGCUUGUCUCAAAGACCAUGCCAUGCAUGUCUAAGUACAACCCUCAUUAAGGUGAAACCGCGAAUGGGUCAUUAAAUCACACCUAAUCUACUCUAUAGUUAACAGUUACUUGGAUAACUGCGGAAAUUCUGGAGCUAAUACAUGCACAAAGCCCCAAACUUACGGGAGGGGCGCUUUUAUUAAAUCAAAACCAAACGGCUUCGGCUGUAUCCUUGGUGACUCUAAAUAACUUUGGGCUGAUCGCUGGGCCUACCCCCGGCAACUUAUCUUUCAAAGGUGUGCCCUAUCAAUUGUCAACUGUGGAAUAAACCCCCACAGGGGUUUUGACGGGUAACGGGAAAUCAGGUUUCAAUUCCGGAAAGGAACCCUUAAAACCGGUUCCCACUUCUAAGGAAGGCAGCAGGCACCCAAUUUACCCAUUGACCGAAGGUCAAGGUAGGGACAAAAAAUAACGAUACGGGACUCUUCUGAGGCCCCGUAAUCGAAAUGAGUACACUUUAAAACCGUCCCCGAGAAUCUAUU